rnacentral:rRNA from 1 species
GGGGAAUAUUGCACAAUGGGCGAAAGCCUGAUGCAGCAACGCCGCGUGAGUGAUGAAGGCCUUCGGGUUGUAAAGCUCUGUCUUUUGGGACGAUAAUGACGGUACCAAAGGAGGAAGCCACGGCUAACUACGUGCCAGCAGCCGCGGUAAUACGUAGGUGGCGAGCGUUGUCCGGAUUUACUGGGCGUAAAGGAUGCGUAGGCGGAUUUUUAAGUGAGAUGUGAAAUACCCGGGCUUAACUUGGGUGCUGCAUUUCAAACUGGAAGUCUAGAGUGCGGGAGAGGAGAGUGGAAUUCCUAGUGUAGCGGUGAAAUGCGUAGAGAUUAGGAAGAACACCAGUGGCGAAGGCGACUCUCUGGACCGUAACUGACGCUGAGGCAUGAAAGCGUGGGUAGCAAAC